rnacentral:rRNA from 1 species
UACGGGGGGUGCAAGCGUUGUUCGGAAUUACUGGGCGUAAAGGGCUCGUAGGCGGCCAACUAAGUCAGACGUGAAAUCCCUCGGCUUAACCGGGGAACUGCAUCUGAUACUGGAUGGCUUGAGUUCGGGAGAGGGAUGCGGAAUUCCUGGUGUAGCGGUGAAAUGCGCAGAUAUCAGGAAGAACACCGAUGGCGAAAGCAGCGCUCUGGGACGGUACUGACGCUGAGGCGCGAAAGCGUGGGGAGCGAACAGG